CAUCUCAUGUUGAACAUCUGUUCGUGUGUUUCGUGCAGUGGCAAGGUGGAGGAAUAGCCAAAGAAGCAGCAAUUGUUGCAAGGACCCAGGAGGCACAGAGAGACCUUGAGGAGCAGGAGAGCUCUCAUGAUGGGGACGCCUCUUCUACCUCAGGGAUAAGAAAGGAUUCAGUGGAAGUCCAGGGAACCUCCAGGACCCACAGCCUGGAAGAUGUGGAGAUCGUUCCCGAUUGGGCAAGUUCUCAGGAAACGGAGCUCCAGAGGCAGGGGCUCCACACGAUAGAGGAGGUCUCCAUUCGUUGGGAUUCCAUCAAAGGCGGUGAAGACCACACCGGCGACCUCAGCGCCCUGAAGGAGGAGGCCUGGGACCCGAGUCUCAUUUCGGAGAGGUGCCUACUUUUGGCUGCACAAUCCUUGAGGAACUGUCACCCCUUGCCCAGGACUCAUGGCCGAAAGACAUUAGGUCUUUUCCGCUCACUAAUUUAAAACAGCGCCUGGUAGAAACCUUGCAAGGUGGUGGCUAUUGUGGAUAGAAACACGUCUCUUCUCUCUUCUGACAGUAGAGUGAAGGAGCUCUGGGGAAGCUGGUGUGCUGUGGGUGUGAGACAAAAUGUCACCUGGCCAG